AAACGGAUAGCUCAGUCGGUAGACCAUGAGACUUUAUCUCUGGGCCAUGGGUUCAAGCCCCAUAUUGGGUUA